rnacentral:rRNA from 1 species
UACGUAGGGGCCUAGCGUUGUCCGGAUUUAUUGGGCGUAAAGGGCUCGUAGGCGGUUUGUCGCGUCGGGAGUGAAAACCUCGGGCUUAACUCGGGGCUUGCUUUCGAUACGGGCAGACUAGAGGUAUGCAGGGGAGAACGGAAUUCCCGGUGUAGCGGUGAAAUGCGCAGAUAUCGGGAGGAACACCGGUGGCGAAGGCGGUUCUCUGGGCCGAUACUGACGCUGAGGAGCGAAAGCGUGGGGAGCAAACAGG